AUCUAAACCGUAUUGCAGCGGCAUCCCCCGAUUUUAUAUCGGGGAUAUAGCGGAAAGACGGAUUAUCG
rnacentral:sRNA from 1 species